rnacentral:rRNA from 1 species
UACCAGCUCUCCGAGUGGUGUGGAUGUUUAUUGGGCCUAAAGCAUCCGUAGCUGGCUGGGCAAGUCCCCUGUUAAAUCCACCGAUUUAAUCGUUGGAGUGCGGGGGAUACUGUUCGGCUAGGGGACGGGAGAGGCAGACGGUAUUUUCGGGGUAGGGGUGAAAUCCUAUAAUCCCGGGAAGACCACCAGUGGCGAAGGCUGUCUGCUAGAACGCGCCCGACGGUGAGGGAUGAAAGCUGGGGGAGCGAACCGGAUUAGAUACCCGGGUAGUCCCAGCUGUAAACGAUGCAGGCUAGGUGUUUGGGCGGCCACGUGCCGCUCUAGUGCCGCAGGGAAGCCGUUAAGCCUGCCGCCUGGGGAGUACGGCCGCAAGGCUGAAACUUAAGGAAUUGGCGGGGGAGCACCACAAGGGGUGAAGCUUGCGGUUU